rnacentral:rRNA from 1 species
UACGUAGGGCGCGAGCGUUGUCCGGAAUUAUUGGGCGUAAAGAGCUCGUAGGCGGCCGGUUGCGUCUGCUGUGAAAUCCCGGGGCUUAACCCCGGGCGUGCAGUGGAUACGGGCCGGCUGGAGGCAGGCAGGGGAGAAUGGAAUUCCCGGUGUAGCGGUGAAAUGCGCAGAUAUCGGGAGGAACACCGGUGGCGAAGGCGGUUCUCUGGGCCUGUACUGACGCUGAGACGCGAAAGCGUGGGGAGCAAACAGG